CAUUCAUCUUUUUUGGUCCUUUUAUACCAUAAAGAGAUGUACCGGAGACUGGUGGUAUGUUUCCUCUCCUAAGGGGUCUUUGCUUUGAUAAAGGAAGCCUCCUCUUCGAUUUAUGGGUGGAAGGGUCAAUUUUUGUUUGUUUCGGACCCUUUCAUUGAAAGUCUUAGGUUUUCUUGUUGGGAUCAGUCGAGCACUAUCUUUUUUUUUUCCCAAGUCUUAAAGCAGCCAA
rnacentral:lncRNA from 1 species